GCGGCCUCCACCGCUCGUGCUCUUGUUCACUGUGUAACAGCUCUGUUGAGAUGGAUUCACUCCCCACACGGUUCACCCGUGAACGUGCACAGUUCCGUGUGUCUAUUCACAGUUACAGAGCAUUCAUCCUUCAGGAAGAACCUCAUCCCCAUCCGCACUCAUUCCCAUCCCCACUUCCCCUGGCGACGGCUGGGCCCCUCCCUGUCUCAGGGGCUGCCUGUUCUGGACGUUUCCAGGAAACGGAGCCAUGCAUUGUGCGGCCGCUGUGGCGGUGACACCCACGGGCAUCCCGUUUCCCGCUCCUCGGGGCCUCGUGCGCAGAGCUUCACCCCUUCCACCGCGGCGUAACGUGCAUUGCGCAAAGACCAAAUGGGAAGGUGCAGAGAGGAAGUCCCUGGAGGACCUGGCCAGGUGGCGGAAGGAGGUGACCGCACACCUGCGAGGGGUGCGGGAGAAGGUGGAUGGCCUCCCCCAGCAGAUAGAGAGUGUCUCUGACAAGUGCCUGCUUCAUAAGAGCGACUCAGAUGUCAGGAUUUCCGCCGAAGGCAAGGCCAGG
rnacentral:lncRNA from 1 species